rnacentral:lncRNA from 1 species
UCUUCUGAUUAUUAUUAUUAUUAUUAUUUUUUUUUUCUUCCGCCAACUUUUUUUUCCUUCACAGUUUUUUUGUUUCGCAAGAUGUCGCUUAGACAUAUGGUACAUGAUAUCGAACAGUUAUUACGCUUUUGUAACUGACACCGCGUAACCAAAAUCUUUUCAAUGUAAGAGUUAUCUCCCCAAACACUGUUUUUCUUGUGAUCGCUUAAUAUUCGCAACUGUAUAAGAAACCGACAAAUUUAUUUUACCAAAUUGCUCGAUAUAUCCUCAGGAUGAUUUGAUUUAUUUUGACCGAAGCUAUCCGGAGACUCCAUAUGAGAGUUAUUUCCCCUUUUAUAUUUGAUAUAAGUGAUAUGCAUUUUUAACUGGAAAACCAUAAGUGUUAGAGGCCUAGGGUCUUUUGUUUUGAUGUCCUUGGUCCAAAAAAAUGAAAAUGGGGUCAAGGUCAAAGGUCAAGGUCAUGAUUAAAAUUUUGAUUUUGGCUUGUGAUCUCUUAUUUUCAGAAAUCAUAUAAGAUAUUGACAAAAUAUUUUCAUAAAAUUGUUAGUUACAACAUGUAGUAACACAUAAAUUUUAGUCGAAAGGGUACGUAGACAUUUGACGCGAGUUUUCCCCCUUUUUAUAUCUAAU